UCCCUGGUAGUAUAUCGGUUAGUACACGCGCCUGUCAUGUACUGCAGUUGGGUAUGUACGCGCGAAAGCUGGGUUCGACUCCCAGCCAGGGAG